GAAGGUGCUUCCCUUUGCAGUG
rnacentral:miRNA from 1 species